GGUCUUUUUGUAUAAUGGUUAGUACAGUUACCCUUCAAGUAGCAAGUGUCAGUUCAAAUCUGAUAAAGACUA
rnacentral:tRNA from 1 species